UGAAGCUGCUGGUGUUGACACAUAUAUAUUCAAGCAAAAAAAACACUGGUUACAAACUGACAAUAAAAGAGCCAUAAAUCAGUACUAAGAUCAUCCAGGAUGCUUGCUGCAACUAAUGACAAUAAAAUAAAUGUAGAAAUGAUCUUAUAGUGCUAUUUUACCUUAGUGCACAUAUAUAAAGUUGAGAACAAAGAAAAUCAAGAGAUGUAAAAAAUUAAAACAAAAGCGAAACGAGUUCUAAGAAAAUAAAUGUAGAAAUGAUCUUAUAGUGCUAUUUUUUUUGUGAGGAACUUAUAGUGCUAUUUUACCUUAGUGCACAUAUAUAAAGUUGAGAACAAAGAAAAUUAGAGAUGUAAAAAUUUAAAACAAAAGCGAAACGAGUUCUAAGUUCGAAACCAAAUAGAAAAAGAAAAAGG
rnacentral:lncRNA from 1 species